AAUGUACUCAUCAUGAGUCCUAUUUUAAACAAUACGUUUUCGUAUAAAAUGUUAUAAUUGUGCUGUCGUCGAUGAAAUGCAAAAUGCAAAAGACAAUCGAUCCGUUGCCACCUUUACCGGAGUUCGGCCGUGACGUGAGUGUAAGACACGGUCAAUAUUGUAACCGUGGCUAAAUAUUCAAGCAUAUCGACAAGCUAUGAUAUGGUAAAACUGACGUCCCGGUGAAUAAACCAUGGUACAAUUACGGUACAAAUGAUUUAUGACCGCGGUUUAGACUGGUAUCAAUGUUGUUAUAAUUAUGGUUGAGCAUCGGCAUGAUCCGAUAUCGGCCGAUAUUAAAUAGUUUUUCAAACCUAUUUUAGACCCGAUAUUUUUUAUUUGAAAACAAAAGAUGCUCGUUUUAAUAAACACAUUACUAACUUCAUAAAAUGCGUUGUGUAUAGUUUAUAUACAUAUUUAAAUUAUAUCGGUAAAAAUCGGAUGUCGGAUUUUUUUUGAGACAUCGGAUGAUUUGAAUUACGUUUUCAAACAGUUAUCGGAUCAGUUAUCGGUUUCAUAUCGGUAGCAAAUAUUUGAAUAUCGGAUAUUGGAAAAAAGACACAUUGGCACACCACUAAUUAUAAUGUCAAAAUAAUUACGGUAUUUGAAUAUUGAAAUGUAACGUGGGAAUGCUAAUACGAGCGAACGGAAAACAUUUUCAGUUCCGCACAAUAAACCGGAUAGCAGUGCCUAUAUAAACG